rnacentral:rRNA from 1 species
AUGGCGGAGGCGGCGGCGGGGGCGGCGUCGGCGCUGCUGGACCUGCCGGAGCCGCUGCUGGACCUGCCGGAGCCGCUGCUGCUGCUCAUCCUCGGCGCCCUCCACGACCCGCGCUCGCGGCACCGGGCCUCCAUGGCCUGCCGCCGGCUGCUGGCGGCGGAGCGGGCGACGCGGGCGGCCAUGGCGCUGCGCGGGGACCCGCGGACGGCCGACUUCCUCCUCCUCCCGCCGGCCUUCUGCUUCCCGGCGCUGGAGCGGCUCGACCUCUCCCUCGCCUCGCCGUGGGGCCACCCGCUGCUCUCGUCCGCCUCGCGCGUCGCGGGCGCGCCGGCCUCCUCCUCCUCCAACCACCUCGCGCUCCGCCCGGAGGAGAUCGCGGAGCGGAACGCCUACGUGGCGGCGCGCCUCGCCGCCUACUUCCCCGCCGUGGCCCGCCUCGCCGUCUACUGCCGCGACCCCUCCACGCUCGCCAGCCUGGCCCCCUGCUGGCGGGCCACGCUCCGCGCCGUCAAGCUCGUGCGCUGGCACCAGCGGCCGCUCGACCUCCCCGGCGGCGCGGAUCUCGAGCCGCUGCUCGGAGCCUGCCCCCAGCUCGCGGCCCUCGACCUCUCCGAGUUCUACUGCUGGACGGAGGACGUCGUGCCGGCGCUCGACGCGCACCCGGCCGCCGCCGCCAGGCUCACCGACCUCGACCUCGGCCUCGCCGGCGCCUCCAACGGCUUCCACGCCGCCGAGCUCGGGGCCAUCGCCGCCGCCUGCCCCGGCCUCCGGCGGCUCGUCGCGCCCUGCGUCUUCAACCCCCGCUACGUCGACCACGUCGGCGACGACGCGCUGCGCUCGCUCGCCGCCAGCUGCCCCCGGCUCACCGUCCUGCGCCUCAGCGAGCCCUUCGAGCCGGCGUCCACCAGCCAGCGGGAGCAGGCGGGCAUUACCGCCGUGGGGCUCGUUGACUUCUUUGCCGCGCUCCCUGGGCUGGAGGACCUCAUGCUGGACCUCCAGCACAAUGUGCUCGAGGCAGCUCCGGCGAUGGAGGUGCUCGCACGCAGGUGCCCACGGAUCAAGGUCCUGACGCUGGGGUGCUUCCAGGGGCUGUGCAAGGCCGCCUGGCUGCAUCUCGACGGCGUUGCCGUGUGCGGCGGGCUGGAGUCGCUCUGCAUCAAGAACUGCGAGGAUCUCACCGACGCCAGCCUCGGCGCGAUCGGCCGUGGCUGUGGGAGGCUUGCCAAGUUUGCCAUACAAGGAUGCAACCUUGUCACGUCAGAUGGGAUCAGGAGGCUAGCCAUGGCGCUUCGGCCUACAUUGAAGGAGGUCAGUGUGCUGCACUGCCGGUUUCUGCACACUGCAGCAUGCCUUGCUGCUCUGAACCCAAUCCGCGAUCGGAUUGAGAGCCUUGAGAUCAACUGUGACUGGGAGGAGGUUGAACAGCCCAGCUCCAGCUGCCUGGCCAACGGCACAACCGGAAGUGAUCAUGAGGAUGACGAGCCUAGUGAAAUGGCGUACCAGUCCGCGCCCAAGAAAUGCAGGUUCUCCUACUUGGAAAUGGAUAAUUAUGAAAGCUGGGAGAUGCUCCGCUCACUCUCCCUUUGGUGCCCUGCUGGUCAGCUGCUCUCCCCGCUCAUUUCUGCCGGGCUCGAUAGCUGCCCUGUUCUUGAGAAGAUCUCAAUUAAGGUGGAGGGCGAUCUCCGGACUUGUCCGCGUCCAUUUCACGGGUCAGCUUUUGGCUUAAGCGACCUUGGAGCCUUCCAGGCGCUGGCCAAGAUGAAGUUGGACCUCAGCGAGGCGGUGGGUUAUGCGCUCACCGCGCCAACGGGGCAUAUGGAUCUUUCUCAGUGGGAGCGGUUUUAUCUGAGCGGUAUCGAGUCAUUGCUGAGUUUGUAUGAGCUGGACUACUGGCCGCCCCAAGACAAGGACGUGAACCACCGGAGCCUGUCACUGCCAGCGGUCGCACUUUUCCAGCACUCCAUCGGACUCAGGAAGCUCUUCAUCCAUGGCACCACACAUGAGCACUUCAUGAGCUUCUUCCAGAAAAUGCCAAACUUGAGGGACGUGCAGCUAAGGGAGGACUACUAUCCAGCACCGGAGAAUGACAUGAUGAUCACAGAGAUGCGGGCUGAAUCUUGCCUCCGGUUUGAGCAGCAGCUGAACAACCGGCAAUUUCGGCAAAUUCCUGAUUAA